rnacentral:rRNA from 1 species
CCUACGGGAGGCAGCAGUGAGGAAUAUUGGUCAAUGGCCGCAGGGCUGAACCAGCCAAGUCGCGUGAGGGAUGACGGUCCUAUGGAUUGUAAACCUCUUUUGUCAGGGAGCAAAGGGCGCCACGUGUGGCGCUUUGCGAGUACCUGAAGAAAAAGCAUCGUCUAACUCCGUGCCAGCAGCCGCGGUAAUACGGAGGAUGCGAGCGUUAUCCGGAUUUAUUGGGGUUAAAGGGUGCGCAGGCGGAAUGUCAAGUCAGCGGUAAAAUUUCGGGGCUCAACCCCGUCGUGCCGUUGAAACUGGCGUUCUUGAGUGAGCGAGAAGUAUGCGGAAUGCGUGGUGUAGCGGUGAAAUGCAUAGAUAUCACGCAGAACUCCGAUUGCGAAGGCAGCAUACCGGCGCUCAACUGACGCUCAUGCACGAAAGCGUGGGUAUCGAACAGGAUUAGAUACCCCAGUAGUC